rnacentral:misc_RNA from 1 species
UCGUAGAGCAGCUUCAGCUCUAAGGACUCGACGUUGUAACUCUGCCAGGAAAGAAGACUUCACCAGCACCUCUUCUGACUCAUUACCCUUUCUCCCGCCAAAUUGUAACAGUCCAAUGUCUCCUGAGCAUCUUCUGACUAACCAGCCACGAAUCACAGAUUGUAUCACAAUUGAUGCAUCAUGAACAUUUUCGUAAGUCUUCCUUUUGGUCCUGCCUCUUAUUUGCUUUUGUAUACACACAGCUGCUUUGUGUUUCUGUAGUAAGAUUGCAUAUUCUUUUCUAGCUUUCUCGCCACGUACAUAUGACUGAAGUGUAGCAAUUCCUCUUUGAAAAUGUUUAAGAUCUCGGCGAGCUUGGUGACCUCUAAAACAGCUUUGAACACAUAAGAUGCCAUGGAGAGUGCGAUUUCUUGUAUCUUCAAGAACUCCAAUCUGUCCAGUUCGGAAAAACAACUUUGUGAAACCAACUUGGUACAUAUCAGGCAGAAUAUUGAACUGAUGCAAUAUUGCAACCGAGACACUGAGAGGAUCUUGUGAUGAAACAUGGUCUAAUAAAAGGAACCCGUACCUUCUAGCAAACUUCUGAUGGGACAUUCUGGUAGGAAACCCAGAUCUUGAUAUCCGAACUACCUCUAAGACACCACAACAUCGUAACUGCUGCAAUACAAGUUCUUGCUCAUACUUUCCAGGAGACUGAAAAUUG